rnacentral:rRNA from 1 species
GAUGAACGCUGGCGGCGUGCCUAAUACAUGCAAGUCGAGCGAAUGGAUUAAGAGCUUGCUCUUAUGAAGUUAGCGGCGGACGGGUGAGUAACACGUGGGUAACCUGCCCAUAAGACUGGGAUAACUCCGGGAAACCGGGGCUAAUACCGGAUAACAUUUUGAACCGCAUGGUUCGAAAUUGAAAGGCGGCUUCGGUUGUCACUUAUGUUUGGACCCGCGUAGCAUUAGCUAGUUGGUGGGGUAACGGCCCACCAAGGCAACGAUGCGUAGCCGACCUGGAAGGGUAAUCGGCCCCACUGGGACAGAGACACGGCCCAGACUCCUACGGGAGGCAGCAGUAGGGAAUCUUCCGCAAUGGACGAAAGUCUGACGGAGCAACGCCGCAUGAGUGAUGAAGGCUUUCGGGUCGUAAAACUCUGUUGUUAGGGAAGAACAAGUGCUAGUUGAAUAAGCUGGCACCUUGACGGUACCUAACCAGAAAGCCACGGCUAACUACGUGCCAGCAGCCGCCGUAA